rnacentral:rRNA from 18 species
GUUGACCUCGGAUCAGGUAGGG